CCCGGCGCUGCUGAGGGGCGAGCGGCGCUCCGCGGAGGGGGCUCCCCGUCCCGUCCCGCCCCAUCCCGUCCCGCGGGGCCGCCCGGCGGUCCCGGUAAGCUCGGGGAGCGCCCCGGAGCGAAGUUGGGAGGAGCGGCGGCGGCGGCCCGGGCCCCGGCGCCCCUCGGCGCCUCCUCCGAGCCCGGCGGCGCUCCGUGCCCACAUGUAACCUCAUGUUUGUUUUCUUCCCUCUCCAGGCUCGCCGCGCUCAAACCGCCCCGGGGGAGAUGGAGAUGAGGUCGGUUCCCCUGGCACGGCUCAGCCCCGGCAGGGUGAGAGCGGCUCCGGCGCUGCGAGAUCCCCGGGCCGUGCGGAGGGCGGGGAGGGAGCAGCCCGGGGCUGCGGGCAGGGAAUGGCCCCGUCCCCUCGCUGGGGUGCUGAAGGAAUUUUGGUUCCUGUGAAGCAACUGCGAAAAUGUCACCAGCCCCAAAGGGGCAGGAGGAGGUGGAACUGGAGUUUAAAAAGCGCCCAGGCCAACUUAAACGGGUUUCAAAGUUGCAAACUUGUAAGGCAGCGUUUUCACGGCUGGACCCAGCCCAGUGUUUUGUGUUUCUCUCUUAAAAACAGCCUCUGGGACAUCUCAGCACCUUCUCUUUGCCAGCAUGACUUUGUGAUAACUCACAAAAAGGUGUCAGUGUUGGAGCAGAUUCUUGCAGAGGGGAGUGGAUGAGGAGGAGUCAAUCCCUCUCCCACUGAAGCACAGGCUGUGCUGGAUGAGGUGGACACAAAUCACAGAGACAUGUGAGAAGCUCCAUGAGGGUGUUCCUGGUUUGGUGUGUUCCGUGUGCUCACAUUCCCAGAGUGAUAAAAACAUCCCGUGGUUGCUUGAGCAAAAUCUCCUCCCUGUGCAGAAUAUCCGCAUCUGCAUCCAAAGCCUUGCUGCAUCCUGGUUUGAAAUGGAUCCAGAAGACUCUGGAAAUGAACAUUUCCACAAGUUUAUUGCUAAUGAAGCCUAAUUAAUUUUGGAUGUAAAUGUGCCAAGCUCCUGCAGUUGUGUGCAGCCGUGUUAAAGGAAAAUUCAGUGGUUUUAUCUGAACAUUAUCAGAGGAACAGGGUUUGUUGAGUUCCUUCUUAGACUGUGGACUUCUCCCUUCUUCACCUCUUGAACUCAGCUAAGUUAAAGGAAAUGUCACAGCCUUUUAAAACACCUGCCUGAAAUAUAAGAGGAAAUGAGGAAAAGAAAGAGAUGGGAGAAGAUUCCUACACUGCUCCUCACCUCUAUAGCUUUCAUGGACUGGAAUGGUAACUUCAGCUAUUUCCACCAGAUUUUGUGCUGCAACCUGGAUGUUCUCAGUAGGUUUGAAACCCAUGUUCAAGUGCACUGUGACAAUUCUCCUCUUAAUGUGGACUGUGGCAUUUAAAGGCCACCCAGGGUGACAGAGACCAGCCAGAACAUCACAUUUCUCUAAGAUUCCUGACACUCUUUUUUCCCUUCCCACAGCAGCCACAUCGUCCUGCUGACUCCAUUCAACCAGCAUAGCUGGAUUGGAGCACUCAGCUCAUCCUUAAUGGGAAAAUACUCCACUUUCCUCCAGAUCUGGAGCUUGUUUGCCAUCCUGCCUGGAUUUCUGAGCCCUCUGUGCCAUUGUGAACACCCCUCCUGGAAAUACAACCUUGAUUCCCAAUCUCUUUAUGACAGAGGGAGGGGGAAUAUGGUAAACUCCACCUCAAAAUGCUGCUUUUCAACCCAGGGUGAGGAAUUGUCAUUUCCAAAAGUGCACCCGAGGAAAACAGCAGCAACAGAGUGAGCUUUGGAAUUUGUCCAGGCAUUAAAGAUUUUUAGAAAUGCUA